GGGAAAGCAAACUGUCAGCGAUUCUGUGUCUUAUAUAAUGGAUUAUAUAUUUCAACUUAAUAAUUUCGUUUAUAGGCUGACGUUGCUGUUAUUUUAACAAGAUUCAUUCGAUUGAACGGAGGACAAUAAAAGGAAGAAUUUCUUGAACGUUGGUUCUACAUUUCCAUAAAAGGACAACGGGUAAAUGCGAGGAAGUACCAAUUUAUUUUGGAGGAUGAAACACAAACAAUUUGGAUAUUUGGAUGAAUUAUUCGGCUUGAGACAG